UCCGCACGCGCUCACCGCCGCCGCCACCGCUGCUCUCUCUCUCUCCAUCAUGCGCAUCCCCACUGAAUCGAUCCAUCCAUCCGUACUCCUCGCUCUCUUCCUCCCGUGACUCGUCGGAUCUGCACGGGUAGUGGCUCACCCCACCGGAUGGUACUCUCUUAGCCAUGGUACCCUUUGGUGUUAGACUGGGCAACACUUGGAGAGAGUCUGCACCGCUGAUGGGUGCCCCCUUCAGCCCUUCCACUUCCGUGUCAUGCGCAAUUCCGGUGACCUCAUGUAGCUCGAGCUCGAUGCACUCCGCCUACACGAGGGCGGUGCCAAGACGGGCAGCAACAAUAUGAGCUUGCAACUCUAUUUGAUGCAGUUGGUGCAACAUUGAACCAUUCUUCUAACUUUGUGGGGAUCAUGGCAGGAGAUAACAGCAAGGUUUCUGAAUAUUUUGUGCUACACAUGACUUCAGAGGAUGUGGCGACUAUGUAGCUAAGUGUCAGAGAGAAGUGGGUGAAGAGCUAGACAAAGGUUUUUUUCCUGAUCUACAUGCAAUGCAUUUCUCUUCAGAAACAAAAUUGCCAGCUCCUUGGCCAUUAGCUUUUGAAAUUAGACAUGAGCUUCACUAAUUGAA